UACGUAGGGUGCGAGCGUUAAUCGGAAUUACUGGGCGUAAAGCGUGCGCAGGCGGUCUGUUAAGACCGAUGUGAAAGCCCCGGGCUCAACCUGGGAAUUGCAUUCGAGACUGAAUAGCUAGGGUGCGGUAGAGGGAAGCGGAAUUUCCGGUGUAGCGGUGAAAUGCGUAGAUAUCGGAAGGAAGACCAGUGGCGAAGGCGGGUCUCUGGACAGUUCCUGACGCUGAGGCACGAAGGCCAGGGGAGCAAACGGG
rnacentral:rRNA from 1 species